rnacentral:rRNA from 1 species
ACGACCAGGUAGAUAGGCUGGAGGUGGAAGUGCAGCAAUGUAUGGAGCUGACCAGUACUAAUCGGCCGAGGUCUUGAUCUAACAAGAC